GUGAAAUAAAUCACAAGAUAACAUACACCCCUUUGUUUGAACGUGAACAUUUCUCCCAUCCCCUUUGUAAAACGAAAACACCCUUUCCUAACUGAGGAAAGGGUGUUUU
rnacentral:sRNA from 1 species